rnacentral:lncRNA from 1 species
UUGGCUUGUCCUGUAGAAAAUGUCAUUUGUGCACAUGAUUGAAUAUACAGUAUGAUGCUGUGAAGUGUCCUACUGUUCCGCCUGUGUUCGUCAAAUUGCGUCCAUGACAAAGAGAAGGACUCCUGGGCAAGGAGCAGCAGCUGGAUGUCCUGAAGACGUCUGCCCUCAACCACAUCCCCACAGGUAGGAGACCAACACAUUACCUGUCUGUCUUUCAUUAUGUGACUGAAUGUUGACCGUUGUCUUUAGAAUGUGUGUUUUUUAAGGUCUGUCUGUCACACAAAGCUAAGAGGAAAGCAAUCCGGCUUUCUUGGUGGAGAAACGUUAUGUGUAGUAAAACUGAUAAGAAUGCAGAAGUAAUUUCAUAAAAAAAACAUUUGCGGGGUGUGAUGUAUAGCUUCAGAUUAAACUAAAUCGUUUACAGUCAUGACUACUGGUUUCAAUUUAAUUUGCAGUAAAUACUUUAUGAAUUUAUUGUAACAAAUCAGCUUGCAAGGUUGCUAGCCAACUAGCCU